rnacentral:rRNA from 1 species
GAUGAACGCUGGCGGUGUGCCUAAUACAUGCAAGUCGAGCGAACAGACGAGGAGCUUGCUCCUCUAACGUUAGCGGCGGACGGGUGAGUAACACGUGGAUAACCAACCUAUAAGACUGGGAUAACAUCGGGAAACCGGAGCUAAUACCGGAUAAUAUAUUGAACCGCAUGGUUCAAUAGUGAAAGACGGUUUUGCUGUCACUUAUAGAUGGAUCCGCGCCGCAUUAGCUAGUUGGUAAGGUAACGGCUUACCAAGGCAACGAUGCGUAGCCGACCUGAGAGGAUGAUCAGCCACACUGGAACUGAGACACGGUCCAGACUCCUACGGGAGGCAGCAGUAGGGAAUCUUCCACAAUGGGCGAAAGCCUGACGGAGCAACACCGCGUGAGUGAUGAAGGUCUUCGGAUCGUAAAACUCUUUUAUUAGGAAAGAACAAAUGUGUAAGUAACUAUGCACGUCUUGACGGUACCUAAUCAGAAAGCCCCGGCUAACUACGUG